rnacentral:lncRNA from 1 species
AUGGUUGUUGUUGUGCCUUCAAGUCAUUUCAGACUUUGGGCGAGCCUAAGUCUAAAACUGAGGGCGGGGGCCAGGUCAAUGGCCUUGGAGGGCCGCAGCCGGCCCCCGGGCCUUAGUUUGGGGACCCCUGAUAUAGACGAAGCAUGGGCCAACUUUGGCCAUCUCUCCAGGUGUUUUGGACUUCAACUUUGCAGCAGCGCUAAGGUUUGCUUUCCCUGUGCCGCCUUUCCUUUCUCAGUCCAGUAUCAUGGAUACAGACUACCAAAAGGGAGCCAUGAAAACGGCAACUCUGAGAGCACGGCGGCAGUCCAUGGGAAAGCAAGAAAUACCAGAUGAAAAGUUUCGCCGACACAGUGUGGUAAGGACCGCGUUGUACCGAAUCAAUAUGGUGGUGGGACUGGGGGAACAUGGGUCGUGAGGCCAAAUCCUAUGUCCUUUCCCAGAAGGGGACAUGCUUUGUUAAUUAUCCCCACUGUUUAAUGAUUUCCCAGCUUCAAGGUCUUCUCACGGAUUCUCUCAGAGCGUCUAAUGAGUCUAUUUUUCACUCCCUCCGUUCUCAGGCCUAAUCUAACUUCUCUUGAAAGCUCCCCAUAGGGGUGUUGUGGAUUCUACAUCAUAUUUAUAACUUUUCCAUAUAUCUAAGAGACUUCCUCUGCUUAUAUGUCUGUUGUAAAUCUUGAUUUAACGUCUCCCUUUCCUACUUUCUUCAUUGCUCCUUGAUCCUUUAGUCGGGAGUCCCUGAGGACGUGACCAAGAAGCCUCACGACACGGUAAGACUCAAGCAGCACAUCCCAUGAGAUGAGUACAGUAGAGUCUCACUUAUCCAACAUUCGCUUAUCCAACGUUCUGGAUUACCCAACGCAGUCUGCCUUUUAGUUGUCAAUGUUUUUGUAGUCAAUGUUUUCAAUACAUUGUGAUGUUUUGGUACUAAAUUCGUAAAUACAGUAGAGUCUCACUUAUCCAACACUCGCUUAUCCAACGUUCUGGAUUAUCCAACGCAGUCUGCCUUUUAUUUAUUUAUUUAUUUAUUAUUACAACAUUUAUAUCCCGCCCUUCUCACCCGAGAGGGGACUCAGGGCGGCUUACAAUAAGCACAUAUAUAAAAAUUAUACAAUACACUAUAAAUCAAUAUAGAAAAUCAUAACUUACGUCAACAUUCAUAAAAACAUUCUAAAAUACAUUCUAAAAUGGGCGUGUUCAAAUUUAAAGGACUGGGUCUGUCGAUUGAGUUCCAAUUAGUGCUGCUAAUUGUUAGUUGUCAAUGUUUUUGUAAUCAAUGUUUUCAGUACAUUGUGAUGUUUUGGUACUAAAUUCGUAAAUACUGUAAUUACUACGUAGCAUUACUGCCUAUUGAACUACGUUUUCUGUCAAAUUUGUUGUAUAACAUGAUGUUUUGGUGCUUAAUUUGUAAAAUCAUAACCUAAUUUGAUGUUUAAUAGGCUUUUCCUUAAUCCCUCCUUAUUAUCCAACAUAUUCGCUUAUCCAACGUUCUGCCGGCUCGUUUAUGUUGGAUAAGUGAGACUCUACUGUACUUGCUCCUUUAUACCGUUUCAGUGCACGUUUGUGAGUACAGUAGAGUCUCGCUUAUCCAACGUUCUGGAUUAUCCAACACAUUUUUGUAGUCAAUGUUUUCAAUAUAUCGUGAUAUUUUGGUGCUAAAUUCAUAAAUAAUAAAUUCAGCUCAUUUUAUGUUUUUAUUGCUGUGUUUCUCAAGUGUUUUAUAAUGACUGUGAUUUUUAAUGCCUUUUAAAUUUAUUUGUGUGUUUUUGUAUUUGAUAUUAUUGUAUGUUGGUUUUAUAUCUGUAAGCCGCCCCGAGUCCCUCUGGGGAGAUGGUGGCGGGGUACAAAAAUAAAAUUAUUAUUAUAUUAUUAUUAAAUACAGUAAUUACUACAUAGCAUUACUGCGUCUUGAACUACUUUUUCUGUCAAAUUUGUUGUAAAACAUGAUGUUUGGGUGCUUAUUUGUGAAAUCAUAAUCUAAUUUGGUGGCUUUUCCUUAAUCCCUCCUUAUUAUCCAAGAUAUUUGCUUAUCCAAGGUUCUGCGGGCCCGUUUAUGUUGGAUAAGUGAGACUCUACUGUACUUGCUCCUUUAUACCGUUUCAGUGCACGUUUGUGAGUAGCAUGGCACAAAAAAGAGAAUUAAUUACAACAUCCACCCUGGACUCCAACAGGCGAGAGUCCUUUCUUUCUCCCACCCCGGACCUUCCACCUUGCUUAGUUCUCCAAGAGACCUCACAACCUCUGAGGAUGCCUGCCAUAGAUGUGGGAGAAACGUCAGGAGAGAAUGCUUGUUAUGUUUUAACUUUCCUUCUGUUCUGCACUUUCAAAGCCGGAAGGAACCUCUGGAGGGAAGGCCCAGGGUCAUCACCGCAGGCAGAGUAUGGUAAGAUGCUGGGGUUGGGGGGGGGGGGGGCAUUGCUUUUAUAAUUUGGGAAUUGUAGUUGCUGGGAUUUAUAGUUCACCUCCAACCAAAGAGCAUUCUGAACUCCACCAACGAUGGAAUUGAACCAAACUUGGAACACAGAACUCCCAUGGAAAUACUGGAAGGGUUUGGUGGGCAUUGACAUUGAGUUUGGGAGUUGUAGUUCACCUGCAUCCAGAGUGCACCGUGAACUCAAACAAUGAUGGAUCUGGACCAAACUUGGCACAAAUACUCAAUAUGCCUAAAUGUGAACACUGGUGGAGUUUGGGCAAAAUAGACCUUGACAUUUGGGAUUUGUAGCUGCUGGGAUGUAUAGUUCACCUACAAUCAAAAAGCCCCUUGAAUCCCACUGACGAUAGAAUUGGGCCAAGCUUCCCACACAGAAUCCCCAGGACCAACAGAAAAUACUGUAGGAAUUUGAGAGGAAUUGACAGCGAUUUAGGGGAGAUGUAGUUCACCGGCCUCCGGAGAGCACUGUGAAUCAAUAUGUGCUUUCUGAUGGUCUCUGGCGACAUGGUGAACUGUAUAAUAGAAAUAUGCAUGUGUACAUAUGUGUGAAAGGAACCUGCUUCCUCAGACAGGUCUUCAUCCCUGAAAGCAAGAAAAGAGAGAAGAUGCAUCACAAUCAGUUUAUCGCGAGCAUUUGUCAAAAUACAGCUGAUUUCCCUCUUCAAUUACUUCUGUGUGGAAAUUGCUUCUGUAUUGUCACUUGCGCAUAGGUUGCAACAUGUGCUAAUACGCACAACGGCCAGAUCGGGAGGGGGGGGGGGUGCUUGACCGACAUCCAGAGAGCACUGCGAACCCAACCAAUGAUGGACCUGGACCAAACAUGCCAUGGAUAAUAGGACUUACAGUACCAUCACUGAUACUGUGACCCCCACUGACAAUGGGCUGGGACCACACUUGGCACUGAAAAGCCCCACAACCAACUGAACAUACUGCAGGGGUUUAGGGGAAUGGACCUUGAUUCUGGGAGUUGUAGUUCACCUACAUCCAGAGAAACUGACCCCCACCAACAAUGGACUGGGACCAAACUGGGCACAGAGAAGCCUCAUGACCAACUGAACAUAAUGUAGGGGUUAGUGGAAUGGACCUUGGUUUUGGGAGUUGUAGUUCACCUACAUCCAGAGAGCCCUGAACCCAGCUGACGUCAGAGCUGGACCAAGCUUGGCACACAGACCAAACAUGGCCAAUCGGGCAUACAGGCCUGGUUUGGGGGUUUGGGAGAAUGGACCUUGGUUUUGGGAGUUGUAGUUCACCUACAUCCAGAUAAACUGACCCCCACCAGCAAUGGACUGGGACCAAACUGGGCAGAAAAGCUUCAUGACCGACUGAACAUACUGCAGGGGUUAGUGGAAUGGACCUUGGUUUUGGGAGUUAUAGUUCACCUACAUCCAGAUAAACUGACCCCCACCAACAAUGGUCUGGGACCAAACGGCACAGAGAAGCCUCAUGACCAACUGAACAUAUUGCAGGGGUUAGUGGAAUGGACCUUGGUUUUGGGAGUUGUAGUUCACCUACAUCCAGAUAAACUGACCCCCACCAGCAAUGGACUGGGACCAAACUGGGCAGAAAAGCUUCAUGACCGACUGAACAUAUUGCAGGGGUUAGUGGAAUGGACCUUGGUUUUGGGAGUUGUAGUUCACCUGCAUCCAGAUAAACUGACCCCCACCAACAAUGGACUGGGACCAAACGGCACAGAGAAGCCUCAUGACCAACUCAACAUAAUGUAGGGGUUAGUGGAAUGGACCUUGAUUUCGGGAGUUAUAGUUCACCUUUAUCCAGAGAGUCCUGAACCCUGUUGACAAUGGAUCUGGACCAAACACGGCUAAGUGUGCAUACAAGCCUGCUUUGGGGGUGGUUGCCCUAGGAAUCUGGGAUUUGUAGUUCACCCUUAUCUAGAGACCACUGAGCCCUGCCAACGAUGGAUCUGGGCCAAACUUCAUUGAUAUGACCUGACAUCCCAAAACAAACAAAAUUGCCUUUUUCUGAUAACCUGAGCACCACUGGGUCCCCAAGAUUUGUUUAUUUAUUUAUUUAUUUGCUACAUUUAUAUCCCGCCCUUCUCACCCCGAAGGGGACUCAGUGCGGCUUA